CUUUCGGGUUCUAGGCAGCCGUGGGCGCUGCGACCCUUCUCUCACUGUCAGAGGGGCGGGAGCUCUCGGCCUGCGCCGCCUCCGCUGCCUGCUUGGUCGCGGGCUUGCCGGGAAUGGUGACAGCCCGGGCCCCCUCUUGGCCAAAGAAGUCCUCGAAAGCGUUCGGCGCACGGGCUUUGUCCAGCUUUUUAAACCGUAACAAGGACCGGGGCCGGGCGCGGUGGCUCACGCCUGUAAUCCCAGCAUUUUGGGAAGUCGAGGCGGACGGAUUACUUGAGGUCAUGAGUUCGAGACCAGCCUGGCCAACACGAUGGAGUCUUGCUCCCAUGCUGGAGUGCAGUGGCGUGAUCUCGGCUGACUGUAACCUCCGCCUCCCGGGUUCAAGUGAUUCUCCUGCCUCAGCCUCCGGAGUAGCUGGGAUUACAGCAAAGAUAUCCAGACGCUGUAUGCAGGAAGAACUGAAUUUCAGAGGACACCGUUUGAUCUUCAACACCUGGCAGUUUACAAAACAGAGACGGGGUGUCGCCAUGUUGCCCAGGCUGGUCUCGAACUCUGGAGCUCAAGCGAUCUGCCUGCCUCGGCCUUUCAAAGUGCUGAGACUACAGCCUGAAGAGGAGAGGGGGAAUCCUGGUGAGAAGCAUUUGGAAUUCAAGCUCAGAGAAGAAGACACGGAGUCCCAGCUGAGAACUCAAACUGGUAGAAGGAAGAUUAUUUUUCCUUCUCUAUAGGUGCUUGGAGGUAACGAGGGGAAAGGAGUUGAAAGGAAGGUGACAUUUCAGGUAUUGAUGGGACAGCACGUGCGAGGCCUAGAGGACU
rnacentral:lncRNA from 1 species